rnacentral:lncRNA from 1 species
GCUUUCCUAAAUCUCAUUCAUACUCUGGCCAGAGGUUCUAAAUCAUAUCAUAGAGUAUUCUCCCUCAAACGAUUUGAAGGUUAGAGAUCCCUUGUUGCGCAUUCACUUGCCUCCAUGGCUAAGUAGUUUAACCCCAACGAUGCCAUGGACACCCGAGGAUGGGGUGACUUUGACAUAAUCAAAGAUCAAGGACUUAACCACAAGACAACUGUGAUGCCUCAUGUCAAAGGACUACUUUGCAUUAUCCCAACCAUGAGUUCUCAUGUGACAUGAAUAUGAGAACUCUUCGUUG